rnacentral:tRNA from 1 species
GCGCCUGUGGCUCAAGGAUUGGGGCGCCAGCCCCAUAUGCUGGAGGUGGCAGGUUCAAACCCUGCCUGGCCA